rnacentral:rRNA from 1 species
GACGAACGCUGGCGGCGUGCUUAACACAUGCAAGUCGAACGGAAAGGCCCGGCUUUUGUGGGGUGCUCGAGGGGCGAACGGGUGAGUAACACGUGAGUAACCUGCCCUUGACUUUGGGAUAACUUCAGGAAACUGGGGCUAAUACCGGAUAGGAGCUCCUGCUGCAUGGUGGGGGUUGGAAAGUUUCGGCGGUUGGGGAUGGACUCGCGCCUUAUCAGCUUGUUGGUGGGGUAGUGUAUGACCAAGGCUUUGAAGGGUAGCCGGCCUGAGAGGGUGACCGGCCACAUUGGGCCUGAGCUGCGGCCCAGACUCCUACGGGAGGCAGCAGUGGAGAAUAUAGCACAAUGGGCGGAAGCCUGACGCAGCAACGCCGCGUGCGGGAUGACGGCAAUCGGGUUGUAUACCGCUUUCGCCUGUGCCGAAGCGUGAGUGACGGUAAUGGGUAAAGAAGCACCGGCUAACUACGUG